UAGAGUUUGAUCCUGGCUCAGGAUGAACGCUAGCUACAGGCUUAACACAUGCAAGUCGAGGGGAAACGGCAUUGAGUGCUUGCACUCUUUGGACGUCGACCGGCGCACGGGUGAGUAACGCGUAUCCAACCUUCCCAUUACUGUGGGAUAACCUGCCGAAAGGCAGACUAAUACCGCAUAGUCUUCGAUGACGGCAUCAGAUUUGAAGUAAAGAUUUAUCGGUAAUGGAUGGGGAUGCGUCUGAUUAGCUUGUUGGCGGGGUAACGGCCCACCAAGGCAACGAUCAGUAGGGGUUCUGAGAGGAAGGUCCCCCACAUUGGAACUGAGACACGGUCCAAACUCCUACGGGAGGCAGCAGUGAGGAAUAUUGGUCAAUGGACGGAAGUCUGAACCAGCCAAGUAGCGUGCAGGAUGACGGCCCUAUGGGUUGUAAACUGCUUUUGUAUGGGGAUAAAGUUAGGGACGUGUCCCUAUUUGCAGGUACCAUACGAAUAAGGACCGGCUAAUUCCGUGCCAGCAGCCGCGGUAAUACGGAAGGUCCAGGCGUUAUCCGGAUUUAUUGGGUUUAAAGGGAGCGUAGGCUGGAGAUUAAGUGUGUUGUGAAAUGUAGACGCUCAACGUCUGACUUGCAGCGCAUACUGGUUUCCUUGAGUACGCACAACGUUGGCGGAAUUCGUCGUGUAGCGGUGAAAUGCUUAGAUAUGACGAAGAACUCCGAUUGCGAAGGCAGCUGACGGGAGCGCAACUGACGCUUAAGCUCGAAGGUGCGGGUAUCAAACAGGAUUAGAUACCCUGGUAGUCCGCACAGUA
rnacentral:rRNA from 1 species